rnacentral:rRNA from 1 species
AUUGAACGCUGGCGGCAGGCCUAACACAUGCAAGUCGAGCGGAUGAAGGGAGCUUGCUCCUGGAUUCAGCGGCGGACGGGUGAGUAAUGCCUAGGAAUCUGCCUGGUAGUGGGGGAUAACGUCCGGAAACGGGCGCUAAUACCGCAUACGUCCUGAGGGAGAAAGUGGGGGAGCUUCGGACCUCACGCUAUCAGAUGAGCCUAGGUCGGAUUAGCUAGUUGGUGGGGUAAAGGCCUACCAAGGCGACGAUCCGUAACUGGUCUGAGAGGAUGAUCAGUCACACUGGAACUGAGACACGGUCCAGACUCCUACGGGAGGCAGCAGUGGGGAAUAUUGGACAAUGGGCGAAAGCCUGAUACAGCCAUGCCGCGUGUGUGAAGAAGGUCUUCGGAUUGUAAAGCGCUUUAAGUUGGGAGGAAGGGCAGUAAGUUAAUACCUUGCUGUUUUGACGUUACCAACAGAAUAAGCACCGGCUAACUUCGUG